CGUCAGCUCACCCUGUGAAGGCCUAAUAGUAAGCAAAAUUGGCACAGCCCAGAACGUCAGGUCGAGGUGUAGCGCAUGAGAGGGGAAGAAGUGGGCUACAUUCGCUAACUUAGCGAAUCACGGACGAUGAAUUGAAAACAUUCAUCCUUAAAGGAGGAUUUAGCAGUAAGUGGAAAAUAGAGUGUUCCACUGAAAUCGGCUCUGAAGUGCGUACACACCGCCCGUCACUCUCUCCAAGCCCACCCAAUUACCUAACAUAACUAAUUAUACCCAAACUGCAAAGGAGAGGCAAGUCGUAACAUGGUAAGUGUACCGGAAGGUGCACUUGGAAAAAU
rnacentral:rRNA from 1 species